ACCUGCCCUUAGGUUGGGUAUAAACCCGGGAAACUGGGUAUAAUACCCGAUAGGUCUCGAUUGCUGGAAUGCAUCGAGAUUUAAAGCUCCGGCGCCUAAGGAUGGGUCUGCGGCCUAUCAGGUAGUAGUGGGUGUAGCGUACCUACUAGCCUACGACGGGUACGGGUUGUGAGAGCAAGAGCCCGGAGAUGGAUUCUGAGACACGAAUCCAGGCCCUACGGGGUGCAGCAGGCGCGAAAACUUUACAAUGCUGGCAACAGCGAUAAGGGAACCUCGAGUGCCAGGUUACAAAUCUGGCUGUCGAGAUGCCUAAAAAGCAUUUCAUAGCAAGGGCCGGGCAAGACCGGUGCCAGCCGCCGCGGUAACACCGGCGGCUCGAGUGGUAACCGUUAUUAUUGGGUCUAAAGGGUCUGUAGCCGGCCGGAUAAGUCUCUUGAGAAAUCUGGCAGCUUAACUGUCAGGCUUUCAGGAGAUACUGUCUGGCUCGAGGCCGGGAGAGGUGAGAGGUACUUCAGGGGUAGGGGUGAAAUCUUGUAAUCCUUGAAGGACCACCAGUGGCGAAGGCGUCUCACCAGAACGGACCUGACGGCAAGGGACGAAGGCUAGGGGCACGAACCGGAUUAGAUACCCGGGUAGUCCUAGCCGUAAACGAUACUCGCUAGGUGUCGGCCACGGUGCGACCGUUGUCGGUGCCGUAGGGAAGCCGUGAAGCGAGCCACCUGGGAAGUACGGCCGCAAGGCUGAAACUUAAAGGAAUUGGCGGGGGAGCACCACAACGGGUGGAGCUUGCGGUUUAAUUGGAUUCAACGCCGGG
rnacentral:rRNA from 1 species